CUGAAACCUCUGGAGUUAACCCCCGCCUACUGCCAGUCCACUUCGCCGGGUAACUGAUGAGGCUGGAGUGAUGGGUCUGAUGGUGGAGUGGCGUAGCUGGCAGCGAUGGGCGUAAAGAUGGAAUGGCGUGGUUGAUGGAGCAGGCGAUGGACUGGCCAAUGAGCACAGCAAAACGCUUGUUCGUGGAGAUGGUGAGAAGGGACACAGGGAACAGAUACAUUUCUGAGACACAGAUCUGGAGAUCCACAGGUGGUGCUCUAGGCUAUGAAGGCAGCACCAACGUUCCUGUAGGUGGUGAUUAAUCAACAGCUGCACUGCCCACUCCGGCCACUUUCAGUUUCUGCCUUCAGAAAACACAAACACCAAAAUCGGAAACGCUGUGCACGCGCUGCCACGACUCGGUCAGCCACACAUUGAUGAAUGGCCUUUAAUAUGCAGGGAACACAGCUUAUGUAACUGGUGUUAGUGGGCUGUCACAUAGCGCCUGUGCAGCAGAGAGCCUUAUCUAGUAUGUUGGGAAGGAAGGACUCAGACACUGUGAAACAGGCUGUGAAAUUCAAAUUUGAGGGGACAUUACGUGGCGAAUUGUGUGAAUGUGCUUUUUCAGCCUUGCUGUCACGUCUUUAUGCUGCCGAUGAAUGCAA